rnacentral:rRNA from 1 species
ACGCUGGCGGCAGGCUAACACAUGCAAGUCGAACGGUAACAGGAAUUAGCUUGCUAAUUUGCUGACGAGUGGCGGACGGGCGAGUAAUGCUUGGGAAUCUGGCUUAUGGAGGGGGAUAACUACGGGAAACUGUAGCUAAUACCGCGUAAAAUCUUCGGAUUAAAGGGUGGGACUUUCGAGCCACCUGCCAUAAGAUGAGCCCAAGUGGGAUUAGGUAGUUGGUUAGGUAAAGGCUGACCAAGCCGACGAUCUCUAGCUGGUCUGAGAGGAUGACCAGCCACACUGGAACUGAGACACGGUCCAGACUCCUACGGGAGGCAGCAGUGGGGAAUAUUGCACAAUGGGGGGAACCCUGAUGCAGCCAUGCCGCGUGAAUGAAGAAGGCCUUCGGGUUGUAAAGUUCUUUCGGUGACGAGGAAGGUUGAUAGGUUAAUAGCCUAUCAAAUUGACGUUAAUCACAGAAGAAGCACCGGCUAACUCCGUGCCAGCAGCCGCGGUAAUACGGGGGGUGCGAGCGUUAAUCGGAAUAACUGGGCGUAAAGGGCACGCAGGCGGUGACUUAAGUGAGAUGUGAAAGCCCCGAGCUUAACUUGGGAAUUGCAUUUCAUACUGGGUCGCUAGAGUACUUUAGGGAGGGGUAGAAUUCCACGUGUAGCGGUGAAAUGCGUAGAGAUGUGGAGGAAUACCGAAGGCGAAGGCAGCCCCUUGGGAAUGUACUGACGCUCAUGUGCGAAAGCGUGGGGAGCAAACAGGAUUAGAUACCCUGGUAGUCCACGCUGUAAACGAUGUCGAUUUGGGGAUUGGGCUUUGAGCUUGGUGCCCGUAGCUAACGUGAUAAAUCGACCGCCUGGGGAGUACGGCCGCAAGGUUAAAACUCAAAUGAAUUGACGGGGGCCCGCACAAGCGGUGGAGCAUGU